UAAAUCUGUCUCUUUCUCUCAUUGUCCUCUUUGGCAAAGAUCUGUGGAAAGCUGAAUAAAUGAACAGGGCCAUUUGACAGAGUGUAACCCACACCAGACCUGUUGUGCAAUGCCUUGAACAUUCACAGGGAGAUCAAGUAUUUUGCCCAAGAGCACACAGCUAGAGAGUGGAGAAGUCCGGAUUCAACCCAGACAGAUUGACUCCAGAGCGUGUGCUAUUCGUGGCUAUGCCAGAAUGCCCUGAUGGCCUCAGAUGGUUCCAGCUUCCUACCCUUCCAGUUAAAAUAAACAAAAACGAGGGUCUUGAGUGUCUAUGAUUUUCAUAAGAUCUAUGGCGUUUCUUCUGCAGAUGAUCAACAGUUGCCUGCCUUGGACUUUGGAGUUCCCAAGAACUAGGUAGGUAAUGGAAUUAGGUCACACUGACAUCCAGUGAUGGAAUUUGCCCAGUGACAUUAAUGCAUCGAUUGCUUCCUAUAUAUUUCAGUGUCAUAAACAAAGUUUCUCUUUCCUUUUCAAGAAGAAAAGAGCAUGGUGGAAACAGAGAAGUGUGUCUUUUGUUUGGUCAGCAAGGCAGGAAAGGCCUUGUGUGCUCUGUCCGUCAACACUGAUAAGCUGUGACAUCGGGAGGCUGGGAGGAUCCCCAGCUGUUCCACCUACACUGGGUCCCAGGGCGCGUGAUCCUGCUCAGGAAGCAAGGGGAGCUCAAACAGGGAAAGAUGAGCACCAUGAACACAAAUAGUCUACUCGGAGUUUCUUAAAUUAUUUGAGUAUCCAUAUAUUUGACUUCAAG
rnacentral:lncRNA from 10 species